UAACGGAAGAGACGCUGCAAACACAGGAUGGACAGAAACCCUCGAGCUGCUGUGUGCCACGACCGGAGCUCGGCGGGGAGAAGAAAUAUGCCCCCCCCCAGAUCAAAAGCCAGAUUACUAAAGAUUUGUAUUGCAUGAAGGCACAUGUUGAAAGACAGGAGUGAAACACACUGAUGUUCAUUGAACAAGAGCAAAAAGCAGCUCAAAAGAAAAUGGAAGAGGCUAUUCAGUUACUCUGUGGUGAAAUGAACCAGUUCACAGACAUCAAAGCCCAGGCGCUGUAGGAAGGUCCCUGUUGCCUGUGUGAAGGGGCCAGAGAUGAGAUCCUGCAAAACUUACUGACCGCUGAAUUUCUGAGAGGACCUCGGUUUCAUGCAGGAAAACUAAACAGUGAGUUCCCAGGAAGCAAAAGCUUGUUCAGGAAGAAAGUGGCAUUCCUAGAUGAAGAAAAUAAGGUUAAUGUGAAUAAAGCAUGUGGGAUUCAACUAGCUCAUUUAGCCAAAUGGAGCUCCAUGGCUUUUAAAGUCCUUGACAGAACUGAUGGUCACGACAGAACCACAGAAUGGUUUGGGUUGGAAGAGACCUUAAAUCUCAUGUAGUUCCAAACCUCUGCCAUGGGCAGGGACACCUUGCACUAGGACCAGGCUGCUCAG